rnacentral:rRNA from 1 species
GCUCAGUAACACGUGGAUAACCUGCCCUAGGGAAGGGGAUAACCCCGGGAAACUGGGGAUAAUACCCUAUAGGUUACAGAUGCUGGAAUGCUCUGUAACCCAAAGUUCCGGCGCCCUAGGAUGGAUCUGCGGCCGAUUAGGUUGUUGUUGGGGUAAUGGCCCAACAAGCCAGUAAUCGGUACGGGUUGUGGGAGCAAGAGCCCGGAGUUGGAUUCUGAGACACGAAUCCAGGCCCUACGGGGCGCAGCAGGCGCGAAAACUUUACAAUGCGGGCAACCGUGAUAAGGGAACCUCGAGUGCCUGUAAAUGCAGGCUGUUUAGGUGUUUAAAACGCACCUGGAGAAAGGGCCGGGCAAGACCGGUGCCAGCCGCCGCGGUAAUACCGGCGGCUCGAGUGGUGGCCACUUUUAUUGGGCUUAAAGCGUUCGUAGCUGGGUUGUUAAGUCUCUUGGGAAAUCUGGCGGCUUAACCGUCAGGCGUCUAAGGGAUACUGGCAAUCUUGGAACCGGGAGAGGUGAGGGGUACUUCGGGGGUAGGAGUGAAAUCCUGUAAUCCUCGAGGGACCACCUGUGGCGAAAGGCGCCUCACCAGAACGGCUUCGACAGUGAGGGACGAAAGCUGGGGGAGCAACCGGAUUAGAUACCCGGGUAGUCCCAGCCGUAAACUAUGCGCGUUAG